AAGUUUGAUAAGACCAGAGGACACUGUAAAGCUCAUCAACCCAGCUCCUUUUAGCUUAAUCGAUUUUGAUCUAUAGGUCUUGAAGAAUCAUCCUAUUGGUCAUCUCAGCUUCUCCAUUGCAUUGGAGAUGUCCGACCAAAAUGAGCUUGUGGAUAAUAUAAUAUUUCGCAUAGAAUUCUUUGAAUGUGGCAUUAUUGAAUUGUCAGCUGUUAUCGGUGAUG
rnacentral:lncRNA from 1 species